GAUGAACGCUGGCGGCGUGCCUAAUACAUGCAAGUCGAGCGAACGGACGAGAAGCUUGCUUUUCUGAUGUUAGCGGCGGACGGGUGAGUAACACGUGGAUAACCUACCUAUAAGACUGGGAUAACUUCGGGAAACCGGAGCUAAUACCGGAUAAUAUUUUGAACCGCAUGGUUCAAAAGUGAAAGACGGUCUUGCUGUCACUUAUAGAUGGAUCCGCGCUGCGUUAGCUAGUUGGUAAGGUAACGGCUUACCAAGGCAACGAUGCAUAGCCGACCUGAGAGGGUGAUCGGCCACACUGGAACUGAGACACGGUCCAGACUCCUACGGGAGGCAGCAGUAGGGAAUCUUCCGCAAUGGGCGAAAGCCUGACGGAGCAACGCCGCGUGAGUGAUGAAGGUCUUCGGAUCGUAAAACUCUGUUAUUAGGGAAGAACAUAUGUGUAAGUAACUGUGCACAUCUUGACGGUACCUAAUCAGAAAGCCACGGCUAACUACGUG
rnacentral:rRNA from 1 species